UAGCGCGCGACAUAACAAUCGUGAACAGUGCCGGACCCAGCUCAGAGCAAGCGGUGGCCCUCCGUGUCGGAGCAGACAAAUCCGUCGUGUACCGAUGCUCCAUCGAAGGAUACCAAGACUCACUCUACACGCACUCUAAGCGACAAUUCUACCGAGACACAGACAUCACCGGAACCAUCGACUACAUAUUCGGAAACUCCGCCGCAGUGUUCCAGUCCUGCAACAUCGUCACCCGUAAGCCCUUAUCGGGUCAGACAAACUUCGUGACGGCGCAAGGGCGGAGCAACCCGGGUCAGAACACCGGAAUCUCUAUACAGAACUGCAAGAUCACGGCGCAGUCGACGACUUACCUUGGCCGGCCGUGGAAAGAGUAUUCAAGAACGGUGGUGAUGCAGUCUUUCCUCGACGGGUCGAUUCACCCGUCGGGUUGGUCUCCUUGGUCGGGUGGUUUCGGGCUUAAAACUCUGUUUUACGCGACAAAUCCGUCGUGUACCGAUGCUCCAUCGAAGGAUACCAAGACUCACUCUACACGCACUCUAAGCGACAAUUCUACCGAGACACAGACAUCACUGGAACCGUCGACUACAUAUUCGGAAACUCCGCCGCAGUGCUCCAGUCCUGCAACAUCGUCGCCCGUAAGCCCUUAUCGGGUCAGACAAACUUCGUGACGGCGCAAGGGCGGAGCAACCCGGGUCAGAACACCGGAAUCUCUAUACAGAACUGCAAGAUCACGGCGCAGUCGACGACUUACCUUGGCCGGCCGUGGAAAGAGUAUUCAAGAACGGU
rnacentral:lncRNA from 1 species